AUGGAAUCUGCUGAUGAAAACCAAAAUAAAACUGGAACCAAUUACUGUAAAAAAGUAUGUCGUGAGAGAAGGACUUCAGAAUGUUGCCCAAAGAUGAUAAAAGGAACCUGCAUUCAUCUGGGAGUGUUACAUCCUGAAAACCAACAGAGAUUUCCUGCACCCAUUCAGAGUAGGACCUGGGAUAUCCAGCACCCCCAUUUGCACGAAAGAAUACCACUGGGAGGAAUUGACUAUCUCACACAACAUGGUGGAGUGACCCCAUGGCCUGACACAACACUGUGGAGUGACCGCACAGCUUGCCGUAAAAUGGCGGAGUAAUCCAUGCUCUGCCACAAAAUGGCGGCGUGACCCCAUGGCCCAAUACAAAAUGGAGGAGGGAGUGACCCACAGCCUGACACAAAAUGGCGGAGGGAGUGACCCACAGCC
rnacentral:lncRNA from 1 species